GCAUUCCCCUAGAGGACUGGCUGCCACACCACAAGAUAGCCGCCAUUCAAAAUACUACAUCUCCCAGAAUGCCUCAGGACCCACCCAGCUGUAGGUGCACCUGUUGUACGAGCGCUUGGUGGAGCGCUUGGUGGAGCGCUUGGUGGAACUGAGGGACAGAGAUCCCACAAACGACAGAAACCAGGGGACAGAGAUUCCCCGGCAAGAGAGCCUGAGGGGGGGGAAGGAUAGCCCCAAGGCUGGAAGGAGCUGAAGGAACCAACUGGGAACCGACAGUCAUACAGGAAAGUAACUAACAGACUUGACAAUUGUUUAAGCGGAGGAAGCCCCUGACUGAAGAGGGGAAAAGGGACAUUUUGUGUUUGGUGUUGGACUUUUGAAUUUGUGUGAAGAAAUACCUGAGUUGUGCGUUUUGAGUGAAGUACCGAAUUAAAAACCAUGUUUUAACCUCCCAUUGUGACUGUUUCCUCAGUUAGACUGCACUGCCCCGCCCUUAAACCUGUUACAAAGUGUGUGUGUGUGUAGGUAUCUGCAUGCCCUCUCACCUAGCAGGACCAGGAUGCAUGCCAGGAUGGCGAUGAGUGCCCCUCGGCUCAGGCUGGCGUGCAGCGUGUAGGCCUCAGCACUGCACGAGAGCACGUUGCCGUCGGCAUCGCAGCUGCACACACGCACAGUGAGCGUGGCCGUGCUGCUUUGCAUCGGCAGCUCGCCGUCCGUCACCUGGAUUGGCAGGUGGUAGACGCUCUGCUCCUGCUGCGACCAGCCGCCACCUCGCGUCAGCACCCACGCCGAGUUAUCUGCCACGGAGAGGGGGAAAACGCUGCCUCGGGGGCAAGACUGUAGCAAAAAUGUUGUCCUCCAAUUGGGUCGUCCGCAUUCGUCGCCGUGUGGGUGUGAAUCAACUUUGAACGGCAAGAAACGACAUCAGACAUUUGGUGUGUGUGUGUGUGUGUUUCUCAGCUAUGUGAGUUCUUACCUGUCCUGCUUUAGCAUUCUCGCACAAAAAGGCUUCAUAGUAUAGAUGAACAGUACCUGAUGGAACCACUAUGCCUGUGCUGUUAUAACAGCAUCAGCC
ensembl:lncRNA